GAUGAACGCUAGCGGGAGGCCUAACACAUGCAAGCCGAGCGGUAUUGUUUCUUUGGCAAUGAGAGAGCGGCGUACGGGUGCGUAACACGUUUGCAACCUGCCUUUAUCUGGGGGAUAGCCUUUCGAAAGGAAGAUUAAUACUCCAUAAUAUAUUGAACGGCAUCGUUUAAUAUUGAAAGCUCCGGCGGAUAGAGAUGGGCACGCGCAAGAUUAGCUAGUUGGUGAGGUAACGGCUCACCAAGGCGAUGAUCUUUAGGGGGCCUGAGAGGGUGAUCCCCCACACUGGGACUGAGACACGGACCAGACUCCUACGGGAGGCAGCAGUGAGGAAUAUUGGUCAAUGGGUGCAAGCCUGAACCAGCCAUCCCGCGUGAAGGACGACUGCCCUAUGGGUGGUAAACUUCUUUUGUAUAGGGAUAAACCUACCCUCGAGAGGGUAGCUGAAGGUACUAUACGAAUAAGCACCGGCUAACUCCGUG
rnacentral:rRNA from 1 species